UUUGACGGAGAGUUUGAUCCUGGCUCAGGACGAACGCUGGCGGCGUGCUUAACACAUGCAAGUCGAACGCUGAAGCUUGGUGCUUGCACUGGGUGGAUGAGUGGCGAACGGGUGAGUAAUACGUGAGUAACCUGCCCUUGACUCUGGGAUAAGCCUGGGAAACUGGGUCUAAUACUGGAUAUGACCUCCUGUCGCAUGGUGGGGGGUGGAAAGGGUUUGUACUGGUUGUGGAUGGGCUCACGGCCUAUCAGCUUGUUGGUGGGGUAAUGGCCUACCAAGGCGACGACGGGUAGCCGGCCUGAGAGGGUGACCGGCCACACUGGGACUGAGACACGGCCCAGACUCCUACGGGAGGCAGCAGUGGGGAAUAUUGCACAAUGGGCGCAAGCCUGAUGCAGCGACGCCGCGUGAGGGAUGACGGCCUUCGGGUUGUAAACCUCUUUCAGCACGGAAGAAGCGAAAGUGACGGUACGUGCAGAAGAAGCGCCGGCUAACUACGUGCCAGCA
rnacentral:rRNA from 1 species